UACGUAGGGUGCGAGCGUUGUCCGGAAUUAUUGGGCGUAAAGAGCUUGUAGGCGGUUUGUCGCGUCUGCUGUGAAAAUCCGGGGCUCAACCCCGGACUUGCAGUGGGUACGGGCAGACUAGAGUGUGGUAGGGGAGACUGGAAUUCCUGGUGUAGCGGUGGAAUGCGCAGAUAUCAGGAGGAACACCGGUGGCGAAGGCAGCUCGCUGGGACGGUACUGACGCUGAGGCGCGAAAGCGUGGGGAGCAAACAGG
rnacentral:rRNA from 1 species